AAUCAUUUUCAGAUUACAAAAAUAAUUUGCGAAAGUCAACUUUUGAAAAACGUGUAUGUUAUUCAAAUUAAAAGCCCAAUGAUGUGAUCUGAGCAUGAUUCCGCGGGCUGUAUUGAAUCGUUGGAAGUUUGUGUAAUGAUUCAACUUCCACCGUUUGUGGGACAUUUAUUUUGAAGGCACAUAUAGAUAACUGCACAAGGAUAGACAGGGACUGACAGGCUGACACACAAGUCACAGUUACAAAUAGUAGCUAGCUAGUAAAUGAGUUAAAAGAAAACAAAAGUAGACGAUGAAUGUAGGGUGUUCCAGCAAGAGUGGAUAUCAAUAGAUUUUUUUUAGGUAUCAGGGAAAGCUGUGUGCUUAGUGUGCAAAGAGAGCAUUGCUGUCUUGAAAGAAUAUAACUUGUCCCGACACUUCCAGGCGAAGCAUGCAGAGAAAUAUAGGAAUAUGUCUUCUGAGCAGAGGGCAAGUGCAUCGAAAGAGUUGCCUUCUCAGUUGCAAAAGCAGCAAGAGCGUUUCACAAAACUGCAUUCAGAAAACUAUGGAGUUACGAGAGCUAGUCCCACAAAAUUGCUAAACAUGGCAAGCCAUUCGCUGAGGUCGAAUACAUUCAAUGUUUAAUUGCCUCGGCAGCAAUGCUUUUCCCCGGCAAGAAUGAGUUGUUUGAAAGUGUUUCCCUGUCACGACGAACAGUAACGCGGCGUGUUGAGGACAUCGCAGAGAAUAUAGAACAGUUGAAAGACGAGGUAAAGGAUAUCACCUAUUUCUCCUUGGCCCUGGAUGAGAGCAGUGAUGCGUGUGACACGGAGCAGUUGUUGAUUUCCCAGACUUUGAAAUUACAGAGGAGCUUGCUUCAAUGCAGCCAAUGAAGAGCACAACCACAGGGAAAUAUUUAUUGGAGGAGGUUAAUAAGUGUGUGGCAAAGCUGUGACUGAGUUUUGAAAAGUUAUCCAGUGUGACCACUGAUUGGUGCCCAAGCUUGACAGGAAAAAACGUUGGCCUUUUGAAAAGGAUACAAAAUCGGAAAAUUAUCUUAUUGCAUUGCGUUAUCAGGAGGUGCUGUAAAUGUGUUCUGAAAAUGAGCCAUGUUGUGGAUACAGUAACUGAAGUGGUAAACUUCAUAAGAGCAAAAUCUUUAAACCACAGGCAGUUUGUCUGUGGGAAGAGAGUCGGUCAUGCAGAUCUCCCCUACCACACAAACGUGAGAUGGCUGAGUUUGGAGGUGCUUACAAUGGUGUGGGACCUGAAGUCGGAGAUUGCUGAGUUUUUGCAAAUGAAAGGAAAAUAUGUGGAUAUCUCUCAACUGCGAGAUAAAGAAUGGUUGGCUGAUUUUGCCUUCACCUUGGCCCUCAUGAAUUAAUUAAAUUCCAAACUACAAGGCAAGGGCCUUUUUGCACAUCAGAUGUACAGCCUUGUCAAAGUCUUCAAGGGAAAAUUUCUCCUCCUGACCAGCCAAGUAGAAGCCAACGAUCUCACCCACCUUCUGACACUUCUAGUCUGUUCCCUAUCAGAUGACCGGCUGGAGAAGUAUACAUCGCUGCUUCGUGCUUUGAAUGUUCUGCCCAUUCUGCCUGCCCUGACCUCGAGCUUGCCUGCCGUCCUGUACCUGCCUGACUCUGACCUGAUCACGAAUCCUUGCCUGCCCCAUGUUUAUAAUAAAUAAUCUGAGAACUACA